GAUGAACGCUGGCGGCGUGCCUAAUACAUGCAAGUCGAGCGAACAGAUAAGGAGCUUGCUCCUUUGAAGUUAGCGGCGGACGGGUGAGUAACACGUGGGUAACCUACCUAUAAGACUGGGAUAACUUCGGGAAACCGGAGCUAAUACCGGAUAACAUUUAGAACCGCAUGGUUCUAAAGUGAAAGAUGGUUUUGCUAUCACUUAUAGAUGGACCCGCGCCGUAUUAGCUAGUUGGUAAGGUAACGGCUUACCAAGGCGACGAUACGUAGCCGACCUGAGAGGGUGAUCGGCCACACUGGAACUGAGACACGGUCCAGACUCCUACGGGAGGCAGCAGUAGGGAAUCUUCCGCAAUGGGCGAAAGCCUGACGGAGCAACGCCGCGUGAGUGAUGAAGGGUUUCGGCUCGUAAAACUCUGUUAUUAGGGAAGAACAAAUGUGUAAGUAACUGUGCACAUCUUGACGGUACCUAAUCAGAAAGCCACGGCUAACUACGUGCCAGCAGCCGCGGUAAUACGUAGGUGGCAAGCGUUAUCCGGAAUUAUUGGGCGUAAAGCGCGCGUAGGCGGUUUCUUAAGUCUGAUGUGAAAGCCCACGGCUCAACCGUGGAGGGUCAUUGGAAACUGGGAAACUUGAGUGCAGAAGAGGAAAGUGGAAUUCCAUGUGUAGCGGUGAAAUGCGCAGAGAUAUGGAGGAACACCAGUGGCGAAGGCGACUUUCUGGUCUGUAACUGACGCUGAUGUGCGAAAGCGUGGGGAUCAAACAGGAUUAGAUACCCUGGUAGUCCACGCCGUAAACGAUGAGUGCUAAGUGUUAGGGGGGUUUCCGCCCCUUAGUGCUGCAGCUAACGCAUUAAGCACUCCGCCUGGGGAGUACGACCGCAAGGUUGAAACUCAAAGGAAUUGACGGGGACCCGCACAAGCGGCGGAGCAUGUGGUUUAAUUCGAAGCAACGCGAAGAACCUUACCAAAUCUUGACAUCCUUUGAAAACUCUAGAGAUAGAGCCUUCCCCUUCGGGGGACAAAGUGACAGGUGGUGCAUGGUUGUCGUCAGCUCGUGUCGUGAGAUGUUGGGUUAAGUCCCGCAACGAGCGCAACCCUUAAGCUUAGUUGCCAUCAUUAAGUUGGGCACUCUAGGUUGACUGCCGGUGACAAACCGGAGGAAGGUGGGGAUGACGUCAAAUCAUCAUGCCCCUUAUGAUUUGGGCUACACACGUGCUACAAUGGACAAUACAAAGGGCAGCUAAACCGCGAGGUCAUGCAAAUCCCAUAAAGUUGUUCUCAGUUCGGAUUGUAGUCUGCAACUCGACUACAUGAAGCUGGAAUCGCUAGUAAUCGUAGAUCAGCAUGCUACGGUGAAUACGUUCCCGGGUCU
rnacentral:rRNA from 1 species